GCUCAGAGUAUAAGCCAAUGGAGCUUGGAAGGCUUCCGCAGAUGGUGUCCAUCAUACGUGGUGUUCUUAAGACCUUGAGUGUGGCUCGUGAAGCGAAGCAUUGAGUUUGCCGACCAGCUGUCGUGCGGGGGGUUCAGCUUGGAAGGGUUGGGUUUCGGUCCAACAGUUUUCCUUCUGUCCCCUUUUGAAUGGACGUUCAGAGCUCUUGGUCUAAUGCGGUUAUGCCCACCACAGCACGUUGUGAGGUCACCCACAGGCUCAAACUGCCGAUCGCGCAUCCAGGACGAUGGCAACGAUGCGUUGUCGAUGAUGGCUCGAGAGAGACUUCACUCACACGCGUGUCUAGUCCUGGGUCGGGCGGCGACCGAGAUAAACCUGGUACGAUCCUCUUGCGACGAGCUGCUUUCUGGCCAGACCGACGCCCGGACGCCUCCACUGUGCCGGAAGCGUCAACCCCAGGCGGUGUGAACCCAGCUGCAUUAUGCAAGGUCUCUCAGCCGGGCGUUGGUCUGAGUGGUGUUAAGUCCAGCACCAUCGGUCACGUCUCGAAACACGGGCCAAGGAGUAUAGCAUGUGUGCAAGUCUAAGGGUCUCACAAAACCCGAAGGCGAAGUGAAAGCAAGACUGUGGCGGGGGAGCUACGGCAAACCCGCCGGCCUAGUGGCGCGUGCGUCGCCUGGCUUUUAGCAGAGCUGAUCCUGUUUUCUCGGUUAAUUCUUGGUGCAGGCGCAAGCUCCGGGCUCACGUACAACACUGGUCACGCCUCGCG
rnacentral:rRNA from 1 species